UGUAAGGGUAUUGUAAGGCUGUGACAUCUGUUAUGCCAUUGAUCGCCAAGGUUGAUUUGGUUGAUCUGGCUGGCUGCAGGGUGUCCCCUUCUUCCCUCGCCAU
rnacentral:sRNA from 1 species